GCCGGGUGUGGUGGUGCUCGCCUGUAAUCCCAGUGGCUGGGGAGGCUGAGGCAGGAGGAUCAUGAGUUCAAAGCCAGUCUCAGCAAUUUAGUGAGGCCCUAAGCAACUCAUGAGAUCCUGUCUCUA
rnacentral:sRNA from 1 species